rnacentral:rRNA from 1 species
UGGAGAGUUUGAUCCUGGCUCAGGACGAACGCUGGCGGCGUGCCUAAUACAUGCAAGUCGAGCGGACCGACGGGAGCUUGCUCCCUUAGGUCAGCGGCGGACGGGUGAGUAACACGUGGGUAACCUGCCUGUAAGACUGGGAUAACUCCGGGAAACCGGGGCUAAUACCGGAUGCUUGAUUGAACCGCAUGGUUCAAUCAUAAAAGGUGGCUUUUAGCUACCACUUACAGAUGGACCCGCGGCGCAUUAGCUAGUUGGUGAGGUAACGGCUCACCAAGGCGACGAUGCGUAGCCGACCUGAGAGGGUGAUCGGCCACACUGGGACUGAGACACGGCCCAGACUCCUACGGGAGGCAGCAGUAGGGAAUCUUCCGCAAUGGACGAAAGUCUGACGGAGCAACGCCGCGUGAGUGAUGAAGGUUUUCGGAUCGUAAAACUCUGUUGUUAGGGAAGAACAAGUACCGUUCGAAUAGGGCGGYACCUUGACGGUACCUAACCAGAAAGCCACGGCUAACUACGUGCCAGCAGCCGCGG